rnacentral:rRNA from 1 species
UACGUAGGGGGCUAGCGUUGUCCGGAAUCAUUGGGCGUAAAGCGCGUGUAGGCGGUCCGGUAAGUCCGCUGUGAAAGUCGGGGGGCUCAACCCUCGAAUGCCGGUGGAUACUGUCGGGCUAGAGUGCGGAAGAGGCGAGUGGAAUUCCUGGUGUAGCGGUGAAAUGCGCAGAUAUCAGGAGGAACACCAAUUGCGAAGGCAGCUCGCUGGGACGUAACUGACGCUGAGACGCGAAAGCGUGGGGGAGCAAACAGG